GCGAGGGGAAAAGAAAUAAAUUUGAAUAACUUGUUGCACUCAUCAGUAUAAUAGCUGGAUUGCAUGCACAUUACCUUUAAAAUAAUAUGAAUGUAUGAAUGAAAUAGUCCCACUAUCUGUACUUAAUUUGUUUUCUUUAUUUACAUGAAGAAUAUUGCUUGUUGUAUGCGGUUCCCCGAUGCACAAGGCCAUGCCACUGCAUAUUCCUCAUGGGUUACAGAACUGGAUAUAAGUAAUUACUGACAACGGCAUUAUGCUGUAGAAACUGUUCCCGUGGUGUUGGUAAUCACGCUGAAGUGACUGUUCUAUUACUAAGAAUAAUACUCUGCUCUCUCCUCCUUAAGGCUGGCUGCAUGAUGAACUGUCAUAGGGAACUAUUUUGUACAAGGGAGAAAAAGACAUUUUGAAGCUGUCAGAGCAGCAACGGAAUGAGGAGUCCGCCAGCCCCCCUUUCACCCUCACGUUAACGGUACCCCAGCUCCGUUCAUUCAGGCGAUAUUUUAAAUGUCUUUUUGACCACUUCUCUUUUUCCUUAGUGAAUUUCUAGUAAGACGGAACUUUUUUUGAACUUUGUAGUAUGUGCUGGGGGAUGCCAAAGCUUACCGGCACAGAGAAGAAGGACUUCUCCUCCCAGAGAGCCCGCAGUGGCAGUGCCAGCGUCAGUGACCUCCAGAAGCACCCAGGCUCUAAGUCGAUCCCAGCUGGGGAUAUUAAGUGCUCAGCACCGGGGCAAAUGAGGCCCUGCAGAACUAAGCACUGGGAAGCAGAUACAGCGGUGUUCAAAAUUAGUCCAGGGCUGAAAAUAGAGCCAUAAGGAGAGGGCUGCAGGCAGCCUGGGCUGCGAGUGUGCACGAGCUGCUCCUCACUGACUGACGGGCCCGUCCUCAGCACUUUUGACCGUCAUGGAAAUUUUGCAAGGAUAACAGGAAAAAAUUCCCGCCGAUUCAUUUGACUGUCCUCUCUCGCUGCUCCUGAGAGCGCAGGCAGGAGCUGUCGAGCAAGACUGAAGGCAAGGAACGUCUUCCCAGGAAAAUUUUGAGGAUGCUGAUGUGGGAUGGUGCCGAGUUCUUGACAAACCACUUCAUCAUCACCUACAAAGUUUCCCGAAACACCAGUUUCAGCUUCCACUUAAGGACACGCAAAUGCCCUAAGUAGCAGAGUUUCAGGGUACUGCCAUAGAGGAAGAAGUGGCAGCACACUUCACAUCCGACUGGAGGACAGCGAUACAUAAACGCUGAUCUGGAGGAUAGCGCUGUGUGUGUGAAAGGGGUAGAACAAGAGGUAAUUCUAAGGUCAGGAUCCUACAUGCAGCAGAAGCCUGUAAAAGGAGAGCAUUCUCCUUACCGCUAGACUUCCCCCUGUGCUUUUUCUCCACAGUGUUCAUUUUCUUGAGGCAAACUUUUCCACUUUUUUAUUCAGAGAGUUUCGGGGGUCCGGGUAAUACUGGCUUGGCUUUGCAGAGGUAGUCUGCCACCCUCUUAGAACAUAUUUCUAAGUGCUUCUGAUAAGUUUAACAACUGGAUCCAUUCUUUACCUCUAGCAAAAAUACAUCAGAGGAAAAAGCAGGUCAGUUUUCUCCCAGUUGCACCUUUACCCUCGCAUACCAGUCACCUGCUCUAAGAGUCAAAGGGCCAUUCUGUUUCUGCAGUCCAUUUAAUGCCCGACCCACUACAUAAAUGAAAACAUUCUUCUUGAGUUUAAAGGGAUUUGGAUUGGGCCUUAAUGCUUAAUCUAAAAACAAGAGCAGCUUGUUAUAGUGAUAACGUCACAAAACGACAGCCUGUAAAAACUGUAUUGCAAACCGAACUCUUCGAACAGAGAUUAUAAAACAACUAGCAAGUUGUUUGUGAAGGAUAUCUACUUUAAUUGCAUACAGCCUUGCAAUAUGGAAGAGUGAUAGAGGCUGGAAUAACCUUUGAACGCCAGAUUGUAUUUCCUGAUGACACAGAAUGCCCUCUGCUUGCACUUUGAAAAGAUACAGGGAAAUAAAUGUUGAAUCUUAAGACAGACCCAAAUUAAUCUUUAAUGAUUUUGAAAUAUUUAUGUAAUCUACCAGUUACAUGCAGCAAAAAAUAAUUUAUGAGAAUCAUAACAAAGAAAAUUAGGUAGAAUAAGGUCAAUCUGCUAUCACUGUUGUGCAGCUAAACUUAUAAUCACAUUUUCAGUAGCUGGAUAUUAAGAUAAUUCAUCUAUCCAGCACGGGCAUUAAAGGCUUGAACCUCUAGUCACUUAAUCACGUAGCUUCACUUUUGAGAUGAGCCCUGAAACUCACUUGUCAAGCGAGUUAAUCUGCAGGAUCUGGUUCUGAUCACAAACGCAGUGCGCAGCACAGGGCGGGAUGAACCCCGGAGGCUCUCCGUGGGAGCAGCAGGACACCGGCCUCUGGACGGUGGCUGGUAGACAGCGGUGUCUAGGCACCCAGCAGCAUGGCCUGAGGGUGAUUUUGAUAGUCUAACUGCACCCAGCAAAGAACAACAAUCAACAUACCAUACCUGUCAAACGUUUCUUGCUGUUAUCUACGGAACAUGGCAAAAACCCGGUGAAGAAAUUCUCUAUGUGCUAAGAAAUACGCAAGAUGCAUACGCCAGGCUUCUGCCUGAAAACCAUCUUUGACAUCCUUCGAUCAUCAGCAGGUGUGGCUGGCAGCAGAGAGAGAUCUCGACCCUUCACGCGAUCAAGCGAACGUCUGAUUUUACUGCAGCGGAAUUUAUUGCGUACCUACAGGUUUCCACGGCUAGCGAUUUGCCGUCAAGAGACAAAGUUUCUCGGGUGCUUCCCUGCGCGCAGACGGAAGCCCAAGCGAAGAUGACAACGGGUUGCGAAGGGGCUGGCGGCGAGAGGAGGGGAACGACGGGCUGGCGGCGGCGGAGCUCGGCCCCAGGCCGCUCACCCCAAACCCCCCUCCCGCAGUCCUGCCCGCCCGCUGCUUCCCCAAACCCCAAACCCCCGCAAACCGCUUACGAGGGCCGCGACCCGCCUGACAGAACGGAGGGCGAAGCGGCCCGAGCCGCUCUCGUGGUUCACCCCGCUUUUAACCAGAAAGGCUCCUUCUCCGUCACCGUCACCGUGGAUCCCGGUGCUCGGGAAGCGGAGCCGGGGCCACGAAGCCGCAGCCACGGGGUCACCACCCGUGGAGGCGGCUGGACUCCCUCCCUCCCUCCCUCGGCGGGAGAGGCGGACUCUGCGGCCUGACCGGGCCCGGCAGUCAUCCUCUGAGGAUGCGAGGGCUCACCCGACCACCGGCAGCUCCCCGUGACCCACGGGACAGGGGCUCCCACGGACACCGGGACUGCGUCCUGCCCUGCCCGGGCCGUGAGGCGGCCCGCCGGGGCGGGGGGGGGGGGGGUGUGUGAAGAGACUCCCCGCGCCGCGCGCGGGCCGGUUCCCCGUUGCCCCGGCAACGGUUGCCUAGCGAGGGCCGCAGGCGGCCCGACUCUCGGCGCCUGCGCAUUGUGGCUCCCCCUCCCGCUCACCG